rnacentral:rRNA from 1 species
UACGGAAGGCAGCAGGUGGGGAAUAUUGCACAAUGGGCGAAAGCCUGAUGCAGCUAUGCCGCGUGUAUGAAGAAGGCCUUAGGGUUGUAAAGUACUUUCAUCGGGGAGGAAAAACAAAACUAAUAAUUUUAUUUCUUGACGUUACCCGAAAAAGAAGCACCGGCUAACUCCGUGCCAGCAGCCGCGGUAAUACGGAGGGUGCUAGCGUUAAUCAGAAUUACUGGGCGUAAAGAGCACGUAGGUGGUUUUUUUAAAGUCAGAUGUGAAAUCCCUGGGCUUAACCUGGAAACUGCAUUUUUGAAACUGAAAUACUAGAGUAUCGUAGAGGGAGGUAGAAUUCUAGGUGUAGCGGUGAAAUGCGUAGAUAUCUGGAGGAAUACCUGUGGCGAAAAGCGGCCUCCUAAACGAAUACUGACACUGAGGUGCGAAAGCGUGGGGAGCAAACAGGAUUAGAUACC